CCGCCCGGGGCGCGGCCUCCAAGUCCCGGGUUUAUUCCGAUGUUAAUGUUAUCCGGCCCAAAGAGUAUUGGGACUACGAAUCACUUACGGUUCAAUGGGGGGAGCAGGAUGAUUACGAGGUGGUUAGGAAGGUCGGAAGGGGGAAGUAUAGUGAGGUUUUCGAGGGCAUCCACACCA